rnacentral:rRNA from 1 species
UACUCGAGUGGCGAACGGGUGAGUAACACGUGGGUGACCUGCCUUGCACUCUGGGAUAAGCUUGGGAAACUGGGUCUAAUACCGGAUAGGAACCGUCUUUAGUGUGGUGGUUGGAAAGUUUUUUCGGUGCAAGAUGAGCUCGCGGCCUAUCAGCUUGUUGGUGGGGUAAUGGCCUACCAAGGCGUCGACGGGUAGCCGGCCUGAGAGGGUGUAGGGCCACAUUGGGACUGAGAUACGGCCCAG